UACGUAGGGGGCAAGCGUUGUCCGGAAUUAUUGGGCGUAAAGAGCGCGUAGGCGGUCCGAUAAGUCGGCUGUGAAAGUCAGGGGCUCAACCCUUGAAAGCCGGCCGAUACUGUCGGACUAGAGUCCGGAAGAGGCAAGUGGAAUUCCCGGUGUGAGCGGUGAAAUGCGCAGAUAUCGGGAGGAACACCAAUGGCGAAGGCAGCUUGCUGGGACGGUACUGACGCUGAGGCGCGAAAGCGUGGGGAGCAAACAGGG
rnacentral:rRNA from 1 species